ACAUAAAAAUUUUUAUUUUCGGUUAUUUUUUCACUCCAAAAACAGCAACAAAAAUAUCACCAAAAACACACAAAACUAUCUCCAAAAAAUAUCAACAAAUAAGCCUUUUUCAAUUUUUUCGGAUUGCAAAAAAAAUAGUUUUUGAAAAAAUUUACGUUUAUUUUUGGCACUCUAAAAGUUCCGAGUUCGGUUUAUUCGAAGACAAUAAGUUUUGUUUAAUGCCCGCCUCAGAGAAAGAAAGAAGGAAAGAGAAAACGCUACAAAGAAAACCAACAACAAUAACAUAUAUGAGUUUGUUAAUAAUUUGUUAAUAAGUUUUUGAUACUCCACCAAAGAAAGAAUUCCCAGGGAAUUCAAAAUACCUACCGCCGAUUCUGCACAACUUGACAACGAACCAGCAAAACAAACGACGACGACAACAAUGAAGAUAAGGAAAAUGUUAAAAGAAAUUGUGAAAAGAAUGUAAAACGUUUAGAAAAGCUUCAAAACACAAACAGACAGCAGCAAUGUAAGGAGCUAUGAGUAGAAAUUGAAAGACAGCAAAAUGUCCUGGUUACACCAUAACGAGAAGUUAUCCAAUGAGAAAGCCGCUUAAAUUUUGGAGGAUUAACGAUGGACGACAGAGCUAAAACGCUUUGUUUGUGAGAGACUUUUAAGCGCGCGUAAAAAAGGAGAGAGUUAAACAAAAAAAAACCAACUAAAUAUACAAACUUUUGAAAAUAAAACACACACACGUUUCAAUUCAAAGAAAACCAAACAAAUUUAAAAGAAAAAAAAAUCAUUGAGAAAACCAAAAUAAAUUCAUUUUUCUUUGAUUCAAAAAAUUUGAUGAAAACAAAAAAUCUAAGGAAAAAUCAAUUUGAAUGUAUGACCAAAACGGAAAACUAUUCAAAACAAAUACCCAAACGAGACACAAAAAAAUCACUAAUUUUUAUUAAAAAUUAAAUGCUAAAGACAUUCGCAUGUGUGUGGUGGUGGAAAGAAGUAAUAAAACAAAAUUUACAAUUAGAAAAAGGAAAAAACGUAAACGUCACAUUUUGAAACGGAAGGCUAAAACCAAAGAGAAAACUCAAAACUUAACAUUCCGAACCAAUCAAAAUUUCUAAGUUUGGCGAAAAAUUGAGAAAAGAAAAAGGAAGCGUCAGGAUCAUCAGCAACAACAACCGCAACAAGAAUCCCCCAGUAACCAGAACACCACAAGGACUUGAACUAAGUCUAGCUAUAUAUUUUUUUAAACGCCAAUAAUAGGAAGAAGAAACCCCAAAAGACGUGAAACACGCACACACACAGAGUAUUGAAAAAAUAAAAAUUGAAAAUAAUUUCCCUAGACUGACAAAAAAAAUCCAAAACAAAACAAACAAAUUGAGUCAAAACACCCAACAAGUCCCUCAAGGCUGGCCAGCAAGACUUUGUUCAAAAUUCAUAUCAAACUUCCAGCAGAACAAGGAAUUUCAUUGCCACAGGACAAAGGAGAGCCAACCAAAUCCACUUUGUGUUGAGUUGAGUUUGGCCCCACUCCCUGCUAACGAACGCCCCCUUCAAACAAAACCAUUUUGAAAACGCAUUUUACUUGAAUUUAAUUUUUGUGUGGGGGAGAGACAACACCAUCCAUCCAUCCAACCAACCACCCAACCUAACAAAGACGGCGAAUUUUCUCUAAAUUUGUUGUUGUUGUUGGGCAUUUCCUCCUCGACAGUGUUUUGAUUUUUAUUUUCGGGGGGCAACCAAGUGAGACCAAGCGCAACGAGUGAGCGAGCGAGCGAAAUAGUGAGUGAGUGGAAUUGUCUGCCUGUCUGCCACCAAUAGAGGUUUCAAACAACCAAACACACGCACACACACCCCCAUACUCAUAGAUCUAAUCGACAAAAAAAGGGGAGACUUCUUGGCUGUUUCUCUCAAAAACACACGCACACAGACACACGGCACAAAGAUUAAGUCAACCCCAGAGAAACGGCGAAUUGCUCUGAGCAACAAAGUGUGGAGAAAUUAUUACAACGGCGAAUUCAUUUACUUCACCUGAGAAGGGUAAAAAUAACUUCAAGUGAGAGCAGAGCAGAGCAGGAUAAGGAGAGCAGAGCAGAACCAAAGUAACUGUUCUCUGUUUACCUCUUGAGGAAGAGGAAAAAAACAAGCGAACAAACGGACAUUAAGACAACGUGUUGAAGGGUGAUUUGUAGUGCCACCACCCCUACCCCAUCUCCAACAGCUGGCGCCUUCUUCGUUGCCAACACAACCGGUGCUGCUGCUGUUGCUGUGGUGGUUCCAUCACCCCCCUAACCCCCAACCACAACAAUCCCACCAUCCACUACUCAUCAUCAGCGUCGUCAGCGAGUAGUGGGUGGCAUCUGAUGAUGUCAUCAGAGGAGGACACAGAUUGUUUUGGUUUGUUCACCGAUGAUAAGUCCUUGCUCAAGGCAACCUUAAAUAACUCACACAGCGGUAGUACCACCGGCCCAACGGCGGACAUCUAUGAAGCGGCGAAUAACGACAACACAUUCGACGAAUGCACCAAGUCCCAGCUAGCCGCCACACUGACAAAUCUUAAAACGGAAGCGGAAACUCACAGCAACGGUCACUGUUCGCCCCUGCUAACAAGUCUAGCAGCAGCGGCGGCGGCGGCGGAGGAGGAAGAAGAGGAGAAGCACGAAGAGCAAUCAAAGGAGAAACCAGCAGAGGUUACCGCAGAAAACCCUGCCGGUGGAAAACGGCGGCCACAGGCCCAGAGCAAUAUUGAGGGAAAACUCAAACGCAAAGGCGAAGGCGAAAAUUCUCUAAACAACUCAAAUCGAACGAAGGCGAACAAAAAACAACACACAGCUAAACAAGAGCCCAAGCCCAGCAAAGAAGAGCAGGAGGCAAUAAACGAAAACAACAACGACGACAACGGCCACGGCAACGGCAACGUAGAGGAGCAGCACACAAAGGCCAUAUCCUCUACCAACGAAGAAGACGACGAAGUUAUAUUUCUCUUCGCCGGUAAUUCUCUUAACAGCAGCCCUAAACGCUGUGGCCGAAGUGCUGGUGGUGGUGGUGGAACGACACAAAACACAAAAACACCACCAAACGUUGUAGCUACAACAACAGCAACAGCAAACACGGCACACACGAACACUAACACAACCUCAAGCACACUCACAACCUUAGCAGAGACUCAGACUUCGUCUCACCAGAAUACAACAACCACGGCUGCCACAACGACGACAACGUCGGCCGUAGACAACAUCAACAGUGGCAAACAACAAGUCGUCCAAGUCGUUGAAACAUUUUCUGAAAGUAGUCAUAGUGGUGCCGUCAAUAAGACAACAACGUCAGCUCCGUCAGCUCUCGCAUCCUCAACACCAUCGUCGUCUUCGUCGAGCACCUCGUCGAGAAAACACACGGAACUCAAACAGAAUUCGAACGCGAGUAAAUCGAAUAAAAAUUCCAAGUUGCAAUCGAACUCGUCUCGAGUCGCAAACAAAACGAAUAAUGUGCCAAGUGGUGCCGCCACCGCUUCGUCCUUAAAACUAAAGAGUAGCCAAAAUAAAAAUUCGCAAAGGACGACUACGACGCGUUCAAGUGAUAGUUUUGUGAAUGAAAACAACAAUAAUAACAAUAACAAUUCAUCCAACAACAACAACAACACAAAUACAAAUCAAACAUUCUCUAAUGAUUUUGAAGAUUUUGACAAAAGUGAUUUGAAUAUUUUCGCCUCAUUGCCAAAUUUUAUACAACAAUUAACUCAGCAACAGCAACAACAACAACAGCUACAAAAUUCAGCCAGUCCCUCGUCCUCGUCAUCGACAACAGCGGCCCUUACGCCACCCACCCUAUUGACGCCGUCAACAGCUGCUGCCUUAAUGAGUAGUGCUGCUGCGGCUGCCGCGGGUGCCGCUGGAGGAGCUCUAUAUGGGGCCUUACUGAAUCAAACCACAUCAUCAUCGUCCACCUCACAAUCGCCCACUGCCCAGCACUGCUCAGCAUCGAAAACAUUUCCCCAGAACUCGCCCAGUUCCUCGCAGACAUCGCCCACCGCCUCCCUGCUGACCGGCCAGUUUACGGCAGCUCUAGGUAACUUUUUCGGGGCCAACGGUUUCGGUUCGGCCAAAAUGUUGAACGAACUAUUCGGCCGUCAAAUGAAACAGGCCCAGGAUGCGACCAGUGGUCUACCCACAAACUUGGAUAAUGCCAUGUUGGCGGCAGCCAUGGAAUCGGCCACAAGUGCCGAUUUGCUGAGUGCUGCCAAUCUUGUGAAUACGCUAGGCCUGAACACAACCGCCACCAACAACAACAACGGUAGUGGUAAAUUGCUCAACAACAACAACACGAUUUCCAGUGACCAACAGAUCACCUCCUCACAAUCGCCCAAGAAUCGUCGCAUCAGCAACUGCAGCGAACGUUCGCUGGAAGAGAAUGGCAAUGGGCUGCGCAAUGGUUCGGGAACGCCACCUCGGGCUCCCUCAGUGGGCCACAGUAAUAAUUCGAAUAAUGCCAGCAGCAAUAAUGUUGUGGGCUCCACAAACACAACGGCCACGUCGCCCAGUUUGCAACAACAACAAAACGAUUUGGCCCAUCACAUGCUGCGCAAUAUUUUGCAGGGCAAAAAGGAACUGAUGCAGCUGGAUCAGGAACUGCGUUCGGUAAUGAAUCAGCAGCAGCAGCAGCAUCAACAAAAAGAUAAUCAGGACUCGUUGAAACUGAACAACAACAAUAAUGCCUCAGCCAAUAAUAACAAUAACAACAACAAUAUUGCCGAUUCCAAAUCGGACAAUUCGAAUGUGAUAAACCUCAUUGAGGACUCACUGUCGGAAAUCAAAAUCAAGAGUGAACCCAAUUUGCCCAACUCAUCCAUGGAUCUGAUGAAUGGCUCUGUGGAGCGGCGCAAAUCCUCAGACUCAGAUUGUGGUGGCCUCAAUUCGCCACACAACUCCCAGCACGAGGACCAACAAUCCGAGCUGGAUGGCCAAGAGUCGCAGCAAGGCCAGGAACAAAUCGACAAUGAACAAAUGGAUAUGACCGGUGUUGUGACAAAAAAGGAGGCAGAUGACAUCCUCGAGGAUGUGGAACUCAUGGGUCUCAAUUCCCGUUCCGAUCUCGAAUCACUAGCCUCCCCAUCGCAAUCGGAUAUGAUGCUGCUGGACAACAGCAAAGAUGAUAUGGAUGAGGAUUUGGACAAGGACAUGUCCACGGGUAUGCCCAAGAAAUCUGAUUUGAAGAGGGCCCGUGUUGAGAACAUUGUGUCCAGUAUGCGUUCCAGUCCCUCAGCCUCGAAUCAGGCUCAUUUACAGGUAAAUGGUUGCAAGAAACGCAAACUAUACCAACCACAACAGCAUGCCAUGGAACGGUAUGUGGCCGCUGCUGCUGGUCUCAAUUUCGGUCUGAAUCUCCAGUCCAUGAUGCUCAACGAUGCCGAUGACUCGGAUGAAAAUGAGUCCCCUCAACUGCAACAGAAACGCAAUGAAAAGAAUGCUCUCAAAUCCCAGUUACGCUCCAUGCAGGAGCAGCUGGCCGAGAUGCAACAGAAAUAUGUGCAAUUAUGCUCACGCAUGGAACAGGAGUCGGAGUGCCAAGAAAUUGAGGAUAAUGUCAGUGAUUGCAUGGAACAGGAGGACAAUAACGGUGACCUGUCGCCCUCACCACCCCUCAUGAACGAAGAAGCCCUGCACGAGGACAAAAGUUCGGGUCAGGAAAAUGAACGGCCCAAUUCGGCCUCACCCUUGCCCAUGAAGAAUGGUAAGCUGGUCAACAAUCCCAACUCCACGGCCCUCACCUCCAUGGAAAAUGCUCCCAAUGUCCUGUCGCAAAUGAUGAGCAAAAUGAUGUCGGGCAAGUUGCACAAUCCUCUGGUAAAUCAUCCCCACAUGCAGCAAUCCUUCAAUGGACCUCUGCCUCUGUUGCAACACAUGCCACAGCUGCAGACGGGAGAGGGUGGCCUGCCCCAUCCAGCUAUCAGCAAUGCUGCCGCCAUGUACUUGGGCCAACAGUUCUUCUUCGAACAGGAGGCACGCAUGGCCAAGGAGGCUGCCGAACAACAGGAACGCCAACAGCAGCAGCAACAACAACAGCAGUUACAACAGCAACAAGCCCAGGAACAGCAGGAGCAACAACGCCGCUUUGAGCAGGAGCAACAGCAGCGACGUAAAGAGGAACAACAGCAGCAGCAACAGGCAGCCGCCGCCCAACAACAGCAGGCCGCUCAGCAACAACAACAGCAAUUGCGCCAACAACAAUUGCAACAGCUCAAACAUGAACAGCAAACGCUGCAGCAACAGCCCACACGACCCCAGCUGCACCACAACAGCAAUCGUGUCAGUCUGCGUCACAACACCGCCCUCAAGAGCGAACUCUCGGAAAAGUUCAAUAUGCUACGCUCCAGCUCAAGCUCGAUAAUGCGCAUGUCCGGCGCCGAUCUUGAAGGCCUUGCCGAUGUGCUCAAGUCCGAAAUUACCACCUCCCUCUCGGCCCUCGUCGACACCAUUGUCACACGCUUCGUGCAUCAGCGCCGCCUCUUCAGCAAACAAUCCGAUUCGGUGGCGGCCGCUGCCGAACAGCUGAACAAGGACCUCUUGCUGGCCUCCCAAAUCCUCGAUCGCAAAUCGCCGCGCACCAAGGUCGCCGAUCGCUCCAACACGAACAGCACCAGCAGCUCCGCAUCCGCCCAGUCGAAUGGACACUCCGCCGUGGCCGCCGCCGUCGUCAAUCAAGCAGCGGCAGCAAUGUUUCAGGCACCGAAGACACCUCAGGGCAUGAAUCCGGUGGCAGCAGCCGCCCUCUACAAUUCGAUGACGUCGACCGGACCGCAGCAGAUGAAUCCGUUCUGUAUGCCCGAGCCGCGCGAUCAACAGCAGCAGCAGCAGCAACAGCAGCAGCAACAACACCAGCAACAGCAACAACAGCUGCAAGCACAGCAGCAACAACAACUCGAGCAGAACGAGGCAUUGAGUUUGGUGGUGACACCGAAGAAGAAACGCCAUAAGGUGACGGACACCCGCAUCACACCGCGCACCGUGAGUCGUAUUCUGGCUCAGGAUGGCCUGGUCCCACCCAGCCCCGUCAAUGGCAUGGCCCAAAACGGACAACAAAUGCAAUCGCAAAUGAACGGACCCUGCAAUGCGAACGGCCCAAAUCCUAUGAAUCCCGCCUCGCUGAACAGUCUGCAGCAGAACAACAGCAAUCCAAAUCAAGGCAAUAGCAACAACAUGAACAAUGGUUGCAACAUCAAUCAGUCAGCGUCCAACAACAGCAACAACAAUAACCAACAAGGCAACAAUUCGAACAGCAAUACCACACCCGCCCAAAGUCCAUCGCCGCGCAGCCAAGCGCCGCCCGCAUUCCAUGCGAAUGCCGGGCCACCGCCGCCACCACCACCCAUGUUGCCCGUGUCGUUGCCCACCUCGGUCGCCAUACCCAAUCCUUCGCUACACGAAUCGCAAGUCUUCUCACCCUACAGUCCAUUCUUUAAUCCGCAUGCACCGCCGCCGCACGGACCACACGCCCCACCCACAGCCACCCAAAUGCAUCACAUCAAAAUGUCGUCGAGUCCGCCCGGCGGUCUGGGCAGUCUGAUGGACGGUUCGCGUGAUGGUUCGCCGCCACUGCCACCCCAUCCCUCGACCAUGCUGCAUCCGGCGCUGUUGGCGGCCGCCCAUCACGGUGGAUCGCCGGACUACAGUGCCCAUUUGCGUGCUGCCAUGGAUGCGCAAGAUCGUAAUUCGGAUUGUAAUUCGGCUGAUAUGCAAUUCGAUGGAAUGCAACCGACCAUAUCGUUUUUGAAACAACAAAUGAUCAAAAAUAGCGAUUCAUUGACCACCUCGCAUUCAUCGACUCUGACGCCAAUGCAUCUGCGCAAAGCGAAGCUGAUGUUCUUCUGGGUACGCUAUCCAUCGUCAUCGGUAUUGAAAAUGUAUUUCCCCGACAUUAAAUUCAAUAAGAAUAAUACAGCACAAUUGGUGAAAUGGUUCUCGAAUUUCCGAGAAUUCUACUAUAUACAAAUGGAGAAAUAUGCCCGUCAAGCUGUUACCGAAGGUGUUAAAUGUGCCGAAGACUUGCACAUUAGCGGCGAUAGUGAACUCUAUCGGGUUUUGAAUUUACACUACAAUCGCAACAAUCAUAUCGAGGUUCCCCAAAAUUUCCGUUUUGUGGUGGAGCAAACAUUACGUGAAUUUUUCCGCGCUAUACAAGGUGGCAAAGAUACAGAACAAUCGUGGAAGAAAUCAAUCUAUAAAAUAAUCUCACGUCUCGACGAUCCAGUACCCGAAUAUUUUAAAUCUCCAAAUUUUUUGGAACAAUUGGAGUAAAUGUGAAACACAUGAAAACACGACUACCAACCAGGAUCAAACAAAAAUGAAACACAUCUACACAAAAAACAAACACACACACAUACCCAAAACAAAAAAGAAAAUCCUACACAAAUUGCAAGGAAGGAAAUCAGAAAAAAAAAAGAAAAAUUCCUGAAAAGAAAAUAGGAAUAUAUGCCAAACAUACGAUUAGCAAGGAAGAAAAUCUAAACUAAAUGUUAAGGCAAAGCUGGGGUUUCCAGGCCAUCUGAAGGAAAAAAAAGAUGGCAUUUGUUAAGGAAACCCAUGCAAAAAUUUUCUUUGACCUCUCAAAAGACAUGCAAACCCACACACACACACAUUUUGAAAGUACCAGACCCACACAUCUUAGCUUAUAGGACUUUUACAAGCCUAGUGUAAACUGUAUUACCGACCUCAUUUACGCAACCCAGCAUACAAAGCAAAGCAAAGCAUAGUUGAAAUAUUAAUACAUAGACAAAGUUUUCCUGUUAUAAAAAUAAUAUUGAAGAUGAAGAAGAA